CUCUUUCCCCUUCCAAGACAGAGAGAGCAGUUACUGUGUUGAAUUAAUGAUAUAAGAAGAAAGUGGGAUUUUAAUGGAGGCGUGGGUAUUCGCAUCGAUGCGCAGUGGUUCGUGCACAUCUGAUUGGCUGCCAGCUGUCCUAAGCGAUUGCCAGACAUACUCAGGUUUUAUAGUUUGAAGAUGCUGGUUAUAGACCCUGGAAGUGAUUAGGAGAAGGUAUUAGGAAUAACCUACUUUAUGGAAAUGGAGAUUGUGAUUUGCAGACCUCAGAUCUAUCCCGACUGUUGGGGAGAAGUGGAGUCAAUGUUCCCGGGCAACAGGUUUCCAGCCUCAGUGGCGUGGCAGACAUAGGGAUGAUUUUGACGUUGAAGGAUUGGGGUAAGGGCUGUGGCAUAGGAAGAAGUGAGCCCAGCGAGAGUGUAGGACAAUGGGACCUCAGAGAGCCCAGGGCUGGAACCUUCUUCUAAGAAAGUUGAACUUGAAGGGUAGAUACCAGGGGAGGAAAACAAGACAGAAAUAGAAGAGGAAAAGGCAGUGGAGGGAAAGCAACUUGAGGGUGGCAGAGAGCGAGAAGGCCGCUGGUGGGGAGCAAGCGCGCCUUGGAACCCUUUUCUGCUUGCCAGCUUUUAAUCUCCAGAGAGGGCACUGUCCUCAUCUUCCCGACAAAC
rnacentral:lncRNA from 1 species